rnacentral:rRNA from 1 species
AUUGAACGCUGGCGGCAGGCCUAACACAUGCAAGUCGAGCGAGCGGCGGACGGGUGAGUAAUGUAUGGGGACUGCCCGAUAGAGGGGGAUAACUACUGGAAACGGUGGCUAAUACCGCCUACUAUCGGUUAACCCAUAUGGUAUUAGCUAGUAGGUGGGGUAAAGGCUCACCUAGGCGACGAUCCCUAGCUGGUCUGAGAGGAUUAUCAGCCACACUGGAACUGAGACACGGCCCAGACUCCUACGGAGGCAGAAGUGGGGAAUAUUGCACAAUGGGCGAAAGCCUGAUGCAGCCAUGCCGCGUGUAUGAAGAAGGCCUUAGGGUUGUAAAGUACUUUCAGCGGGGAGGCGUUACCCGAAGAAGAAGCAACGGCUAACUCCGUGCCAGCAGCCGCGGUAAUAC